GACGAACGCUGGCGGCGUGCUUAACACAUGCAAGUCGAACGGAAAGGCCCUGCUUUUGUGGGGUGCUCGAGUGGCGAACGGGUGAGUAACACGUGAGUAACCUGCCCUUGACUUUGGGAUAACUUCAGGAAACUGGGGCUAAUACCGGAUAGGAGCUCCUGCUGCAUGGUGGGGGUUGGAAAGUUUCGGCGGUUGGGGAUGGACUCGCGGCUUAUCAGCUUGUUGGUGGGGUAGUGGCUUACCAAGGCUUUGACGGGUAGCCGGCCUGAGAGGGUGACCGGCCACAUUGGGACUGUGAUACGGCCCAGACUCCUACGGGAGGGAGCAGUGGGGAAUAUUGCACAAUGGGCGGAAGCCUGAUGCAGCAACGCCGCGUGCGGGAUGACGGCCUUCGGGUUGUAAACCGCUUUCGCCUGUGACGAAGCGUGAGUGACGGUAAUGGGUAAAGAAGCACCGGCUAACUACGUG
rnacentral:rRNA from 1 species